AUGUCUGGGAAACUGCCUGAUGGAGGGGGAUAACUACUGGAAACGGUAGCUAAUACCGCAUAACGUCGCAAGACCAAAGAGGGGGACCUUCGGGCCUCUUGCCAUCGGAUGUGCCCAGAUGGGAUUAGCUAGUAGGUGGGGUAACGGCUCACCUAGGCGACGAUCCCUAGCUGGUCUGAGAGGAUGCCAGCCACACUGGAACUGAGACACGGUCCAG
rnacentral:rRNA from 1 species